UGGAUAACUGUAAUAACUCUAGAGCUAAUACAUGCCUCGAUGCCCUGACCCUCACGGGGAUGGGUGCACUUAUUAGAUCAGAAGCCAACCGUGUUCAGACGUGGCAACAUGGCUGAGUGCGUUGACCUUCUGGUGACUCUGGAUAAUUGUUACAGAUCGCAGUCGGCCUUGAGUCGGCGACGGGUCCUUCAAAUGUCUGCCCUAUCAACUUUCGAUGGUAGGUGACCUGCCUACCAUGGUGAUAACGGGUAACGGGGAAUCAGGGUUCGAUUCCGGAGAGGGAGCCUGAGAAACGGCUACCACUUCCAAGGGAGGCAGCAGGCGCGCAAAUUACCCACUCCCAGUACGGGGAGGUGGUGACGAAAAAUACCGAUGCGGGACUCCUUCAAGAGGCUCCGUAAUCGGAAUGAGUGGACUAUAAAUCCUUUCACGAGGAUCAAUUGGAGGGCAAGUCUGGUGCCAGCAGCCGCGGUAACUCCAGCUCCAAUAGCGUAUAUUAAAGUUGCUGCAGUUAAAAAGCUCGUAGUUGGAUCUCGGUAGCACUGUUGCCUGUUGGUCUUUGGGUGGAUGGUUGCCGUAGCUAUCGUCGUUGUCGUUAGUGGUGCAUGGGUGUAGCCUGUGUUACUGCAGAUGCGGCGUUGGCUGCGGCGGCAGCUGUGCAUUCCAAGCUAGCGGGGUAGCGGUGUGACCUGUAAGCCAUGUCUGUGGUGAAAGUCACAGGUGUGAGCGAGUGUCGGGCGACGUCCUGCGGUAGUGGGGCUUGUCGGCUCGUUUGCAUGCCUCUGGAUGCCCUUAAAAAGGUGUCUGUGGGCGGAUGGCACGUUUACUUUGAACAAAUUUGAGUGCUCAAAUCAGACCGAUGUUGCCUGAAAAGU
rnacentral:rRNA from 1 species